rfam:Oceanibaculum indicum P24 contig20, whole genome shotgun sequence.
CGGAGCAUAGCUCAGCCUGGUAGAGCACUGUCUUCGGGAGGCAGGGGUCGCAGGUUCAAAUCCUGCUGCUCCGA